ensembl:lncRNA
CCCCCCCCCCCCCCCCCCCCCCCUCCUGGGGAGCGUGGGGUAAACGGUGGAGUGGGACCCCUGACUCAUCUGGAGGAGAAGUGGAUCUUUUAGGGGUCUUAGAGCUGCUGCGUGUUGUCAAGGCAGCGAAGCGUUAGUGUCCGUACAGGCCCAUCCAUGCCAGCUGGUUACGAUCGGAGGAGAAUCCCAGGAGGAUGAGACCGAAAAGGCGUUGACCGGCGACACGCGCCGGAGCAGGCAGCCCUCACAUAAAGCUCUUGUCUGUCUGCAGCAGCACAGCGUGCGGCGCCGAAACCUGGUCGGCCUAUGUGGGAUUGCCGGGGCCUCUUUGAAGUACCGAGCCGCGGCUGUUUCCUUUGUGUGUAACGACGCAAAAAAAAUCAAACCUAAAACCAAAACACCCCUAAGAAUACCUGAAAGGGGUACAAUAUAAAGUGCCAUAUGUAUAUGAUGCUUUACACGUCUCUUUUUUUUUGUGUUUCAUCCCCUCCCCUCCGCCGUGAUUAUGCAUGUCUUCUGUGAAG